GCCUUCGGGGUGUAGUGGUCAGCACACUCGACGCGUAUUCGAGAGAUCCGUGGUUCGAGUCCCGGCGAGGGCA
rnacentral:tRNA from 1 species